GGCCGAGAGAAGAAGAAUAACCGCCAUAAUUUUUUGAAGCACUCCGACUGCUGAUUGCAGUGUUACCUCUGAUGUAAAAAGUUGAUAAAACUAAUGUUAAAACAAAAUUUUACAAAUUAAAUGCAAUAGAUUAAGUUUAAGAUUAUUACUUAUGUGAAACAUGUGAUUUUUUUUUUAUUAAAAAGGAUUUGUAUUUGCUUAAACAAUUUCUUUUUAUUCAAAGCAAUACAAAUGCAAACCAUCUUAUUAAAUAUAUUAAUGCAAUUCACAUAUGAAAAAGUACACUUACUUGAUGAGAAAAAAGUGGAAAAAUGUAGAAUGUUAUUGCACAAAGUAAAAACAAGUGAUCUUUUUGAGACUGAUCGGGAAAAACACCCAAUAUUGAUUGAACGAUCUUUUUUGAAAAGAAAAAAUGUUCCUUGAACAUUUGUUUACCAGAAGCCAUUGUGAACUAACUCAGAGAUUUCAAAGCAAAAUAAUAAAUACACAUUCCAUUUCCCCUAAUAUCUCAUCGAAAAUUUAAAUUACUACCCAUUAAAAAUAUAAGAACACAAUCAAAAAUAAUGACAUGAAAAGAAAACCAUAAAAAUUAAAUCAUUACAACGAAGUAGGGAGAAGUAUCACUCAUUCAUAGUUUUAUAAGUUUCCACCUGUUCGAAUAGGAUAAUUACCACUUUGUGUAUUUUGGCACGUGUUUUUUCUCAACAAUUAUGCGAGGGUAGAUUUUCCUUCUACUUUGUAUGUUUACAGACAUGCGCAGAAGGUUCUAUCGAUUUCAACUUUAGUCAGUUGAUCUCCGACAACGGUGCGGUACACUUUCUCAUUCGAAAGCAGCAAUGGUGUUACAGUAAUUAAAAGAGAGUACCAAUUUUGUACGACGAUAAAGUCUGCUAAAGUCCAAUAAAAAUUGUCAUAAUUUCCUGAGAACUUUUAGCUGCAAACGAUUCAUGCGAGGAAACAAACAUACCACCAAUCGAAAGUAUGCUUGGCUUGCAGCUUCUGAUAAUCAUAAAUAAUAGAGUUUUUUGAGAUUUCUUGGAAAGAAUGUAAAAUGGAACUUUACACCUACAAAAGAGAUAAGAUUACUUCUUGGACAAAAAUGUGAUUAUUUACUUAAUAGUUAAAUUAGAAAUUUAUUUUCUUCAUUGUAUAUUGAUUUUGCAAUAUUAAUUAUUUGUUUGCUUUUUAUAAGAAUUCAAAGUGAAAAAACUUCGUAAUAUCUUACAAUUCUUCGAAAGCUACAUCGCUAGAAUUCAACAGUUCUUGGCCAAGAUAAAAAUUUAGAUAUAAUCCAAAAAUUGUGAUUGCAAUGUAGAAACUGCACUGGACUAUUUCAACUGCAUUUUUUAAGCAUAUAGUUAACUGAAAUACCUAAACAUGUAAAUGAUGUAUUAUAUUAAAAUUUUUAGUAAAAAGUAUGCAAUAUAUAAUAAUUUUUUGUAAAAUAAUACGAAUAUAAUACUUUAAUAUCUAUCACAUUUUACAUUUUUUGGUAAAUGUUUUACUUACAUACAAGAAAUCAAAAAUUACAAGCGUCAUAGCAAAGAGUACUGUGAAUAAGUAAGUUGUCUUCGAAUAAUUGUUUAAUAGGUCCACAUACCUGAAAGAAAAAAAUGACAAAAACAAAUCAUCAUAAUUAACGUUUCUAUAUUAGAUUCAAAUUUUUCAAACGUUUUCCGAAAUAAAUAGGACAAUUUAAAAAUACUAAUUCUAUAUUGUUGAAAAAAUAAAAAAUAUCUAUUUCAACAUUUUAACGUUUAUUCUCUCAAAAAAUUAAGCGUAUAUUGUAUUUCUUUAAAUCAUUUGUGAGAGGAAUAAUGUUAAUAAAAAAAAAAAUCUCAACAAUUAUAAAAAAACAUACGAGAAACCUUCAAGUGUUGAUAAAUUAUAAUACUUACAUAGAAACAAGUAGAUGUAAGCCAAAAUGAAUUAUGAAGAUAAUAAAAGUAGAUAUCAUGUAAAAAAAUAA
rnacentral:lncRNA from 1 species